CCCCUCUCCCCGCACCCAAGGCAGCCUCGGGCCCCACAGGCGGCAGCCUGGCUCGUCACGUGUCCCAGACACGCUCACGUUCUGCGCAUUCCCUGUCGCUGCCCCGCCGCCUCACCUCUGGCUGCGGUCGUGCCGCUAGCCUCUCCCUGUCCCCGUCUGCGCAGACGCCCCGCUCCGCUCGCACCCGGCCCACGCUUCCCUCCACAGCGGGCGUCAGCAGGCCACAGCCCCCUUUCCACGCCUGGGCUUCUUUACACGCGGCACCCGGCGCAAGCUUUCCCUGUGAAUCCACGCCCCAAGUCCCUCCGUGUUGCCGUCUGUGUGUGGGGUCCCCUCAGCUCGGACCGCCGUCCCCAGGCCACUUGUGUGAGCCGCUCCUCACUGUCCUCCCCUUCCUCACCCCUGCCCUGACCACGGGCCUCCCUGCAGCCUGGACGGGGCACUGCUCCUGUCUGCAGGGCUCAGGCCCGCUGCUGGCCCUCUGUGUGUCCUCUGUGUGUCCCCGUGAGGGUGGCGUGCCCACCUCCUCGCUGACCCGCAGCCCAGAAUGAACACUCAUCGUGCGGAGACUAAGCGAGGUGCUCCAAUCCGCAGAGCUCGGGCGCUGCAUUCCGUCUCCGAGUCAGCAUGCCUGCUCAUGCGUCAGCGCCUUUGGCCAUGCUGUUCCCUCUCCCGGGCAUGCCCUUCCCUUCCGCUUCUGCUCAAGAACUUCUAUCAGCAGGCUCAGCCCACGUGCCUCCUCUGCUGUGGUCCUUCCCUCAGCACCCCCCAGACAGCUAACCCUCCCCUGCCACCCCCUGUCCUGUGGGUAUGGCAGCGAGGGAGCGAAGCAUGAAGCAGUGCGAAGUAGUGGGAGGCAGCAUGCAACAGCAUGGAGCAGCAUGGAACAGACACGGAAGAGUACGGAGCAUCCUGGAACACCACAGAGCAGCUGGGGGCAGCAUGGAACAGCAUGAAGCAGACUUGGAACAGCACGGACAGCUUGGAGCCGCCUAGGUCCUUGGCGCUCACAAUAGGGAGCAUCGUGUAGGGUGCGGCCUCUGCGCUGAGAAGUGGGAGGAAGAGCCCAGUAGCCUGAGUGAGGCGCUCUGAAGACCGUGGCUUCCAGAGCGUGGGUCUCUCCGGACUCUGCAGAAUCCCAAGAGCCCCUCCCGAGGCGCGCACACUGGCCCUCGCACGGCUCAGCGCCGCGCCGUAGGGUGCUGGCCGAGUUCUCCUGACCAGCGGGGCAGGGGGGGAGCGAGGUCAGUGCGAGCCUCAGCCCGUCCACGUGCUGACGGUCCACGCGGUCAGCGUGCACACCCGAGGCCACGGCAGCGCCAGAUGCAUGUCAACAGGAAAAGCGCUCUGCUGUUCCCCACCCCCCGCCCCCUGUACUCAAGGUUGUGUUCGCCAACGGCUGCAUUGAAGAUUAAAGCCAUGUCCUUUUCAA